GAUGAACGCUAGCGGCAGGCCUAAUACAUGCAAGUCGAACGGUAACAGGUUAAGCUGACGAGUGGCAGACGGGUGAGUAACACGUACAUAACUUGCCCACGACAAUGGGAAAGUCGCGGGAAACUGCGAAUAAUCCCAUAUAGCAUUACCGAAUCGCAUGGUUUGGUAAUUAAAGGAUUCGUCCGGUCGUGGAUAGAUGUGCGUCCCAUUAGAUAGUUGGUAGGGUAACGGCCUACCAAGUCAGCGAUGGGUAGGGGGCGUGAGAGCGUGAUCCCCCACAUGGGUACUGAGACACGGACCCAACUCCUACGGGAGGCAGCAGUAGGGAAUAUUGGGCAAUGGACGGAAGUCUGACCCAGCCAUGCCGCGUGUGUGAAGACGGCCCUUUGGGUUGUAAAGCACUUUUGACAGGGAAGAAAAGCUUCCAUUUAAGGAAGAAUUGACGGUACCUGUAGAAUAAGCACCGGCUAAC
rnacentral:rRNA from 1 species